AUGAACGCUGACAGAAUGCUUAACACCUGCAAGUCUUUGGCGAAGCUGUGCUUGCACAGCCUAGCCAAGGCGGACGGGUGAGUAACGCGUAAGGAACUUGCCCUGCAGUCAGGGAUAACAGACGGAAACGACUGAUAAGACCUGGUAAAGUCAGGCGGACUCAUGUCCAGCCUGAUGAAAAGAGAUGCUGCAGGAGAGCCUUGCGUCCUAUUAGCUUGUUGGUGGGGUAACGGCCCACCAAGGCGAUGAUAGGUAGCCGGCCUGAGAGGGUGGACGGCCACAAGGGGACGGAGAUACGGCCCUUACUCCUACGGGAGGCAGCAGUGGGGAAUAUUGGACAAUGGGGGCAACCCUGAUCCAGCAAUUCUGUGUGCACGAUGAAGGUUUUCGGAUUGUAAAGUGCUUUCAGCAGGGAAGAAAAAAUGACGGUACCUGCAGAAGAAGCGACGGCUAAAUACGUG
rnacentral:rRNA from 1 species